rnacentral:rRNA from 1 species
AGUUUGACCCUGGCUCAGGAUGAACGCUAGCGGCAGGCUUAAUACAUGCAAGUCGAGGGGGCAGCAAUGUCACCGGCGAACGGGUGCGUAACGCGUAUGCAACCUACCUACAUCAGGGGGAUAGCCCUAGGAAACUGGGAUUAACACCGCAUAACAAUAGAGUUGGCAUCAACUUUAUUUGAAAUAUUUAUAGGAUGUAGAUGGGCAUGCGUAGGAUUAGCUAGUUGGUAAGGUAACGGCUUACCAAGGCUACGAUCCUUAGGGGCUCUGAGAGGAGUAUCCCCCACACUGGCACUGAGAUACGGGCCAGACUCCUACGGGAGGCAGCAGUAGGGAAUAUUGGGCAAUGGAGGCAACUCUGACCCAGCCAUGCCGCGUGCAGGAAGACGGUCCUCUGGAUUGUAAACUGCUUUUGAAUGGGAAGAAUGUGCUCCUUGCGAGGGGUAAUGACGGUACCAUUAGAAUAAGCCACGGCUAACUACGUGCCAGCAGCCGCGGUAAUACGUAGGUGGCGAGCGUUAUCCGGAUUUAUUGGGUUUAAAGGGUGCGUAGGCGGCUUAAUAAGUCGGUGGUUAAAAGUAGCAGCUUAACUGUUUUACAUGCCAUCGAUACUGUUGAGCUUGAGAUAUUUGGAGGCAGCUAGAAUUUCCGG